rnacentral:misc_RNA from 1 species
AAGUCGUAACAAGGUUUCCGUAGGUGAGUAGACACAGUUCCCACGCUCUCCCCCGGCGUGACCAAUGCUAACCGAAUCACAGGUGAACCUGCGGAAGGAUCAUUACCGGGUUCAGGGCCGCCCCGGCGGCCCAAACUCUCACCACUUGCUGUCCGCUCCGAAUGUUGCCUUGGCGGCGCGCGCCCACGCGGCCGUCCGUCAGGGGUCUUCCAACCGGAAUCUUACUUGCGUGACCGUCGGAGAAGCUUAUAAACAAAAAGAAACAAAACUUUCAACAACGGAUCUCUUGGUUCUG